UACGUAGGGGGCAAGCGUUGUCCGGAUUUAUUGGGCGUAAAGAGCGUGUAGGCGGCUUUACAGGUCCGUUGUGAAAACUCGAGGCUCAACCUCGAGACGCCGGUGGAAACCGUAAGGCUAGAGUCCUGAAGAGGAGAGUGGAAUUCCUGGUGUAGCGGUGAAAUGCGCAGAUAUCAGGAGGAACACCCGUGGCGAAAGCGGCUCUCUGGGACGGUACUGACGCUGAGACGCGAAAGCGUGGGGAGCGAACAGG
rnacentral:rRNA from 1 species